CCUACGGGAGGCAGCAGUGAGGAAUAUUGGUCAAUGGACGAGAGUCUGAACCAGCCAAGUAGCGUGAAGGAUGACUGCCCUAUGGGUUGUAAACUUCUUUUAUAAAGGAAUAAAACGAGGCACGUGUGCCUUUUUGCAUGUACUUUAUGAAUAAGGAUCGGCUAACUCCGUGCCAGCAGCCGCGGUAAUACGGAGGAUCCGAGCGUUAUCCGGAUUUAUUGGGUUUAAAGGGAGCGUAGAUGGGUUGUUAAGUCAUGGGGAAAAUUGCGGGGCUCAACCUCGUCGAGCCGUUGAAACUGGGUGCCUUGAGUGGGCGAGAAGUACGCGGAAUGCGUGGUGGAGCGGUGAAAUGCAUAGAUAUCACGCAGAACUCCGAUUGCGAAGGCAGCGUACCGGCGCCCAACUGACGCUGAAGCACGAAGGCGUGGGUAUCGAACAGGAUUAGAUACCCUUGUAGUC
rnacentral:rRNA from 1 species